rnacentral:lncRNA from 1 species
GUCGCCUAUGCCUGUCCUGGACUGGGCCAAGCCCUUCUGCUCCUCCCCAGGAACAAGCCCUUCAUGCUCCUACCACCACGCUCAGUGGGGCAGGUCCUGCAGCCCCUCCCUGAAGAUCACACGGCUACACACUUUUAGUUCUGCCACUGCCACAGUAGGGGAGGCUGGUUCACUGUAAACCUACAUCAGGCCCAGGGGAAAGCUCUGAGAAUCUCGCCUAGCUGCACACCAGCACCGAUCCACUUUCACAAGUCCACUGAGACAUUCACAGAUAGCAAAGGAAAACGGAAGCUGGGAUUCCUGGUGAAGCUCGGGAGAGCAGUCCUGGGCAGAUGGAGUCCCAGCUGUGUGUGUCCCACCGGUAAUUCGGCAGAGACCCUGAGUGUAUACCCAACUCUGGGGUUUAGAUCCUGAAGGUACAGGCCUCACGGGAAUGAACCAUUGAAUAUAUCCUAUUCCAGAAAGGACAGGGACAGCACCCAGAUCUGAGGUUCCACGUCACAUGCUGGGACACCCCAAAAUUCUGGGAAAAAUUUCUGAGGUGUCUAGGCAUAGCUUUCCUCGGGCUCCAGAGCUACUGGAUAGGGACGGGGUGCAUUGGUUUCUCCUUCUCUCCUUCGGGCAGCUCAGAUGUGGAGCUGUCCCUGUCCUCAGCAUCACAUCGCUGCAGCUGUGUGAGCGAUGAUAAUUCUGUUCUCUCGGCCUCACAUGAUCCUCACAGCACCCUGGGAAGUACAGCUCCCUGUGCUCCUUGAAUUAUCGCAUGUUUUUGGAACUAAAUAUUAUCAAUUUCUUCAUUUUACAGAUAAAGAAACAGAUCCCGGGAAGGAAACAGAUGAACACAUUGUCCUCACAAAAUCAGUGGCUACACCAUCCCCAGCUCCCCACCAAGUCAGUGCAGUGUGCUUUGGGGGGCCUCUGCGUGAGUCUUUUCUGCAUGCUCUUCAGAAAAGUUGGGGAUCUGGGGUGAGCUGGCUGGACUCAGGCUCAGAGCCCCAGGGAAGCCACUGGCUCAGGUCCAGUUUUACUCCCUGAAAUCUGGAUUUACACCGCACGUCCAACUCCCCCAGGGUAUUGAAGGUUGGACACAGUCUCCUGAAUUCCUGGCGUGGCAGCAGCUGUACCACCUCCCCAGCAAGAUUUAAUUUCUUCUGCUGGAAACAGGAUCCUGAAUACUUUCAUUUGUAGAAGUCACCGUUUCCUGGGGCCGCUCACAGCACAAGCAGCAGGUGGCUAUUCCAAGUGCUCCCAAAUGAGCUUGGGAUCCAUCGGACAAAUNNNNNNNNNNNNNNNNNNNNNNNNNNNNNNNNNNNNNNNNNNNNNNNNNNNNGGGCCGCUCACAGCACAAGCAGCAGGUGGCUAUUCCAAGUGCUCCCAAAUGAGCUUGGGAUCCAGCUGGGACAAAUCCAUCCCUCCGAGGCGACAUCUGCUGGAAGGCGGCACUGAAUUAUGUCACAUUAUAACAGCACUUUUCCCUGAACCUGUGGCCUUUACUUAGCUAAGUGGGAGUCUCCC